UUGUCCAAUGAAGAUUUUAAGUUGGAAUGUCAGCGGGCUUGGUUGCCCCCAGAAGCAUGUCUUGGUCAAUGAUAUUUGUAAGGGUCCAAAGCUAAUAUUAUUUGUAUUCAAGAGUCUAAGCAUUAGUAUGUUGAUUGUGGCUUAGUGGAGUCAACAUGGGGUCGUAAGGGUGUGGACUGGGUGGCCUUGAUUUUUGUAGGGUUGGCCGAGGGUAUUGUUGUUAUGUGGAACCCUUAUCUCUAUUGUAAAGAAGAUGGUUGGGGACCUUCUCUGUUAAUGUGAUCUUUCAAGAGUUGUCCUCUAGGUUUAAAUGGGUGUUUUUCGGAGUCUAUGCUCCAAACCGUCCUCCUCUUUGCCCCCCUUUUUGGGAGUUGUCUUCUAUUUCUAAUAGAUGGCAUGUUUACUUGGUUAGGCUUCCCCUACCAUGUCCUUGCUGGGCAGAUUUUUGGUUUCCCCUAGGUGGGCGCAAAGGUUUCACCUGUCUUGUAAAAAUGGUUUCCCUCAGCCAGUGUCUGAGCAUUGUCCCCUCUUGUUGGAGGUGUAGGAAAUUAAAUUGGGGCCCAGGCCUUUCAGAUUUGAGCUAGCCUAGCUCAAGGUCCAGGGUUUUCGUUCCUUGGUCUCCGAGUGCUAGACUUCUUUUGAUAUCAAGGGUCGCAUGCAUUGUUGUGAUGUGCGACCGUGAUCGCAUAUGCACAUAUCCAUAUGUAGAUUGCAUAUGUGAUCUGACACAUGCGAUCACAUGUGGCAUAUGCGAAAAUAUGCGAUGUAUAAUGUAUGUGAUCGCAUAAAACAUAUGCGAUCGCAUAUUGGCCAGCGGUUGGCACAUUGAUUUUUUAUUGUUUUUUGGUGUAAAAAAACAACUUUUUGGUCUAUAAAAAGGCUUCCGAACUUCCCCCAUUUACAAUAUUCUCACGCCAAAACUCUCUUACCCUCUUCUUCUCUUACAUUUCUUAAUUCCAAGUGGUCUUAAUUUCUCUCCUAUGUUUCUUACUUUCAAGUGGUCCUCUCUCUCUCUCUCUCUCUCCCCUACAUUCCCUCUCUUAGAAGUUGAGAGAUUAAGAUUCAAGCACUUGAUAUUUAAUUCAUUGUUUAAUUGAUUUUAUUUCUAUCAAAUAUAUUUUAAAAAUGUAAAAUUAGUUAUCUAUUAACUUGGGAAAGUUGCCCUUAAUUUCUUAUAUCUUUUACAAUUUUUUAAAAUUUCCAUAUUUUCCAUUUUUAAAAAUUUUAAAAAAGCGGUUGCAUAUGUGAUUGUGGCAUAUGCGAUCGCACAUGAUCGCAUAUGUGAUUCGACAACAUUGGUUGCGUGGGCUUCAAGUUAUUUAAGAAGCUGAAUUAUUGAAAGCUAUGCUUAUCUCCUAAAAGUGGGAAGCCUGCUUAUGGAAGCCAAGUGAGUUGCCAAAGAUAAGUUAUCCUCUUAUUAUUGUUUUAUGUUAAAAGAGGAGGAGAUCAAAUGGCUUCAAUGCUCGUGGGCAGUCUAGUUUAAAGAAGGCGAUAAAAACACCAAACUCUUUCAUGGGAUAGCUAGUGCUAGAGCUUGGGCCAAUUGUAUUUCCUUUCUUGUGGUUGAUGGUGAUAUGCUUGUUGACAAAGGUUGUAUCUCCGAGGCCAGUGUCAAGUUUUAUGAAGUCUUGCUUUCAGAUGACGGACACAUGAGGCCGAAUCUCGAUAAUCUUGCUUUCGAUUCUCUCUCCCUCAAGGAGGUAGAUGCUCUUGAGGUGCCCAUCCGGGUUGAGGAGAUUAAGGAGGUUGUUUGGGACAUGGGGAGGGAUAAAGCCUUGGGUCCGGAUGGCUUUCCUUUCCCCUUUUCCAAUCCUUUUUGGAUUUGGUUAAGCUGGAUUUGCAUGAGGAAUUCUUUGACUUUUGCUCAUAUUAUGGCUGAGUUGGGGUUUUCCUUCAUGGCCCUUAUCUUGAAGCACGAAGGUGUGGACUGUCUUAUGAAUGAGGCCCAUUAGCCUCCUCAGCCAUCCUUAUAAAAUUAUUGCUAAAAUUCUAAGUUAGAGGCCAUGGUGUGUCGUAAUAGCCAUUAUGUAACAGUAACAGUGCCAACUGUUGCGCUUUAUGGGGUUGUAACGGGCAUAACGACCAUAAUGGGAAAAUUGAUCCAAUACAGGGCCGAUAUAGGCUUUUUUAAUAGAGAGAGACCAUUAUGGCCGUUAUGACCUAUAUCGUAACAGUAGCGAUGGUGUUCAUUAUGACCAUCAUUAUUGUUACGACAUGCCUUGUUAGAGGGUGAGUUUGGUGCUCCUAAAGGUUAUUUCACUUGUCUAUAGUGCAUUAUCUUUGAGAGGCAAACCCUUGUUAGUGCCCUGAUUCCAUAUGAAUUCCUAGAUUUGUGCCACAAGGUAGGAAGGCAAAGUGAUUUCCAAAUUGGACCUCAAAAAAGCCUAUGAUUAUGUCGAUUGGUCCUUUUUGUGUUACAUGUUAGCACUUAUGGGUUUUAGGGUUAAGUGGAGAAAUUGAAUUCAUUAUUGUGUUUCUUCUGUAAGAUUGUUUGUGCUUGUCAAUGGUUCUCUGUUUGGUUUUUUUUCUAGAACCUCUCAGUGCCUUCGUCGGGGGGAUCCUCUGCCUCCCUUCCUGUUCGUAGCAGUGGUUGAAGCCCCGAGUAAAAUGUUAUCCAAAGGUUAGGUCGAGGGUCUUUUUUAGGGUUUUGUGGUUGCAAAUUUGCCUCAAUUGAUCAACCAUCUCCAAUUCGCAAACGAUGCCCUUUUGUUCUGUGAAGCAUUCGAGUCCAUGGUGGCUGUUGAUGCAGAAAUCUGGGUAGCCUUCCUUGGACCUUCAAGUACCUGCACAAAGAGCGGACAAAGGAGACCUUGGCUUCGGCGGGGGACCCUCCGAUGCGUAAGUCAGGUAGGGAAUCUGGGUCUGGUCGUAAAUAGGGUUUUAGCCUUAAGAUUGUGCGUACCUUUCACCAUUAAGGGUGCUCCUAUUUAUAGGUGAAGAGAGGCGGUGGCGUAUAGGGAUAUUCUCUGUUUAGUAAGAGCGUAUUGUAGUAGGAUUCAGAUCAAAUGGAAUUCGUAUAUGGGAAUGCCAGGAUUUCAGCCGAGAUUCUCAGCUAAAAUCUCGAAGGGGAUCCAUGUUGCUUUCAACUUCCAAGAUCCUCGGCUGGGAUUUUGGAUAAAGUCGGUUGAGACUAUGUCGGAACCAGUGGAGGUGCAUGACAUAGGACUGAGGUGGAGAGCCCAAGGGAGUUUUUUAUGAUGGCUUCAUAGAAUGGUUUGCCGACUUGAAUUCUUUGGUGAAUUAUGGUCAUGUUUUCCUUCAAUGUUAAGUGGACGACCAAUCUGCCAACCUGCCCUAAACUAUUGAAACCGAACUGCUUCCUUGCUUAGUUCGAGGAUGUGAGGUUUUUAUCAUGGCCGAGCUUGAGCUCCUUUCCUGCUUGGGCUAGGGUCUUCAUCGUAACUGUUGUUGAGUAACUUUGGGGUGCAUACAGAUGUCCGACCUGACCUUAUCUCAUUGGCUAGUCUGUUUUUACCCACAACAAUAAGCCCCCUUACUUUCGAGCUUGCACAGAGGGCUCGUGGAGCAGGUCGGUAAUAGUGAGGUCGGACUAUUCUGUGCCUUGGGUGUCGAGUCAGCUUAUCAUUAAUGUUGGAUAAGGUGGCGUGCACGAGAAUCAGGGUGUAUCUGUAAUCAUGGUACAACAUGCUCGAGAUAACGCGCGCCACUCGAGGUGACGUGAGCUGGCGGCACGCCUGCUCGGCUUCUGGUCUACGGGGUGUCGACGCGUGGUGUCUUCUGGAGAGACAUGGCAAUCGACGAGUGGGAGAGCUUCACAUGUUCGAGCGCGAUUAUUGGGGCAUUGAUUUGGCUGCGUAAUGAGUGCGGGCAUUAAAUGCUGCAUAGUCGAGCUGUCUAUAAAGGGGGUGCCCUAACACCGUUUCGAGAUAUUUGCUAUGUCGUCUCUCUGCUUCUCUCUCUGCUCUCCCCAUACUCAGGCAAUUUCUGGCGACUUCCAGCCUCUUCCUUCUUCUCCAUUGAGCUCUGUUCCUGUCCUCCCCCUCUCCUUUUCAUUUUUCUUUUUCUUCCGAGUUUUGGCUUCCGGUGGCCGUCCGCUUGAAAAGGGAAUGUUGAGAUCAUCGGACUAGCGGGGGGAGUCAUCCGAGCGUGAUGGUGAGCCGGAUGAUCUUCACCUUAUGUCGAAUCCACCCUCACCGCUGAUGAUGAUGAGUGAUAGGGACUUCCAAGUGUCCCAUGAGUCAAGGAUGGCUACUCGGUCCUCGGUAGAGCAACCAGAGGACGUCAAGGGGGCUGUCCUGGCUACGGAGGAGGCCAGUGGAUCCUCGUCAGGGGCGGAAGAAAAGGGGCCAGUCGAGUUGAUGCUGACGGAGGCCGACCCGGUACGGAUCAGGUCGGGGUAUCACAUUCCAAACUUUGUGGUACUCCGAGCUCUCGUACUUGGCGAGCUUCCAAACGAGCCCCGGGCCGACGAGGUGGCCAUAUUCCUGGUCGCCCUCCGGUGCGGCUUGAAGCUUCCUCUCCAAUGUAUGGUGAGGAAAGUCCUCUUGCACCUAGAGUUAGCCCCUAGGCAGAUAAUCCCAAACGCCUGGAGGGCGUUGGUGGGGUCAUUCACUCUCUGGUUUGAGCUCGACCAACCCGAGCUGACCGUGAGUGAGUUUCUCCACCUAUACCAAGUGAAGUCUAACCCUUAUCAUGAGGGUUGGUAUUAUUUUUCUACUUGGUCAAGGACUGGCAAGGCCAUAAUCAUAGAUGCCCUGACCUCGAAUAAGAACUGGAAGAGUAAGUAGUUCUGGGUGUCAGGAGAUUGGGAGGCUCCAGUAGCUCUCGGGCUGCGUCCUUGAGUCCUAACACGUUUCACUAAACUAGUUCUGCCCAAGUACUCGCUGGAGUGGGCGAGGCAGAGCGUGCUCGGAUAGCCAGGGCGAGGUCGGUGGACGCCAAGCCGAGGUCUUGGAAGAGGUUGAUUACGCCCGAACUACUUUUCAAAUCAGGUCUCACCUUGUCCAUAUUAGAAAUGCCUGAUUAGAACUGCUCAAAGCGCAAAGCCCCUUCUAUGACCGAGGUGGCCUAGAAGAAGCAGAGGCCGGUUCCGAAGAAGGGGGUUGCUGCCUCUUCGUCCUUUAUCGGUUGGGCGGGUGUGGACGCUGACCCUACCAUUGUUCCUGCUACCACUCCUUCAGACCUGCCAACGGUCUCUGGGGUGGUCAGGACUGCUGCGGAGGCAUCCCCUGUCGCUGAGGCCCAACCUUUCGAGGUUCGGGCUGCUAUCGGUUUUGAGGCUCGGGCGGGCAAUCCCUCUGGCGGUCGAGUUGCUAAGGAUCGGAGAUCCCUUCGAUUUGUCUUAGCUACAACAGAGGGCAUUCUGCCCUAGAUAUCUCGACACGUUCCUGACGCAGAGUUUACCAGGGUGAUGAAGUUGCCUUCGACAGCCGGUUGGGCCAGAUGGUAGCACUCUACUACAAGGUAGAGCAUUUUUCUUUUCUAUAGUCCUCUUCAUUACUUAGGGAUUUAUUCUCCUAUUUUGACGUGGAUCUCUUUUUUAGUUUUGCCAUGUCUUCUUGAACGCUCAUCGCGAGAUACUGUGCGCUUAGACGGAGUGCAAAGAGGUGGAGGCAGCUCUUGUGCGGAAGACCGUCGAGUCCGAGCAGUUCCGCUCGGAGGCCAAUGCUUUGAAAGCCCAUGCGGAGGGGGUGGAGACCGAGCUAGAAGCAUUGAAGUCACUUCUUAGGGAGGCUCAAGAGAGCGGUGCAAGGUGGAAGAGCGAGCUGAACGAGACGAGGCACAACUUCGGGGUGUAGCUGAAGGAAGCCCAGGCAACUAUUCUGGGGGCUAGGUUGGUGGCCAUGGAGGAGUUCAAGGCCUCCAAGGAGUUUGAGGAAGAUAAGAGUCGCACUCUUCGGCCUCGGGUAUGACAAGUGCCUCGAGGAUGUUAAGGAGUUGUAUCCCGAGCUCGACCUGACCUCCCUCGAGGAUAGCCCUGUGGAAGAGCUCGCUCCUCCAGAAGCCGAGCAGCCGACCUCGGAGGGGCACUGAUCUGUUUUCCUCUUUGUAAUGAUUUUUUGGUUUCACCCUUAUAUGCACCCCCUUUUGUUAUUAAUGAAAAUAAGGUGAUUAACAAAGAGAAUGUGCUUUUGUUUUAACGAUUGUUGUGAGUGAAUUUUCUGAGUAAGCUUAUUAGGUCGAUCUAGUACUUGUUAGUAGGUCAAGCCUUUAGGCCGUGCAGGAGCUCAUGGGUCAAUGCUUAGGCCCUUUCAAUGAUUCUUGUUUUCGUAGAGUAGAUGGGCGAGUUGCAUUAAUUCCCUUAUAAAGGGUUGAGCAGCUUGCUUUAGGAGUAUCGUUCCCCCUCGCAUCAAGGGGUCCUUGUUGUAGAUCAUGUAGUCUGAGUAGUGUUAUUAGUUUGUGGUCCGACAUCUUCUUUAAGCGUCGGGCGACUGGUCGGGGACUGUUCCUCCUUUGCACUAAGGUAAGUCCCCAAUAGGCCACGUAUUAGAUUUGAUCAACGGUUCGACCUCCUCUCUAAGGGUCACACUUUAAUGAGGGUUGUUUUUCGCUUGCACUUAGGGAAGCCCUUAAUGGGCCGAACGUUUGUAGAUAAAGAGUAGAAAGUAAAAUUUCCUGACCUCAGGAUUUUUAUUGUAGAUUCUGAAGAAACAUGUGGAUUUCGACUUGGUCAGUCACUUAUUGUGGAUUCUAAACAGUAGGCAUGUAGAUUUUGACCUUAGGCCUAGUCGGCAUUUACAGGUAGUAGAUCUUCAGGUGCUCGGCGUUCCAUGGAUGAGGUAAAGGUCGCCCCUCCAUGUCUUUGAGUUGAUAGGCUCCUGGUCGGGUUGUGCCUGUCACCUUGUAAGGCCCUUCCCAGUUCGGCCCCAGAGUUCCUAAGCCAUGCUCCUUAGUGUUCUGGAAUGUUCUGCGUAAAACUAGGUCCUCGGCUCGGAACCUUCUCGUUUUCACCCUAGAGUUGUAGAAACGGGUGACUUGCUGUUGUCGAGUUGCAACCUUGAGUUGGGCUUGCUCCCUUUUUUCUUCGAUCGAGUCAAGGUUCGGUGCCAUAUGCUCGACAUUUUGAUGUUCGUCAUAGGAGCAGGUCCGAGCAAUUGGGAGCCUGAUCUCGACCGAGACAACAACCUCAGAUCUGAAGGCCAGGGAGAAGGGUGUUUCUCCCGUGGCCGUUUCGGCAGUGGUCUGGUAUGCCCAGAGAACAUGGGGAAACUCCUUUGCCCAGGCCCCUUUAACCUUCUCGAGCUUGGUUCGGAGGUGGUUCUUAAUGAUCUUAUUGACUGCCUCGACCUGACCGUUAGCUUGGGGGUGCUGGGUGACGAGUAGACAUUUCAAAUUCUGUGGUUCUCACACAUUCCUCGGAAUCGGUCGUUGUCGAAUUGUUUCCUGUUGUUCGAGACAAUUGUGUGUGGGAUUCCGUACCGAUAUAUGAUGCUUUUCCAGACGAAGUCGGUAAUUUUCUGCUCGAUGAUCUUGGCCAAGGGCUCGGGCUCGGCCCACUUAAUGAAGUAGUCGACUACAAUGACUACAAACUUGGUCUGUCCUUUGCCAGUUGGUAGAGGGUUGAUGAUGUUGAUCCCCCACUGGGCGAAGGGCCAUGGCCCAGUCAUGGGAGUUGGCUACUCAAGUGGCUGAUGAGGUAUUGUUGCGAAUCGCUGACAUUUGUUGCACCUCCGGGUGUAUUGCUUGGCGUCUUUCUGGAUGGUUGGCCAAAAAUAUCCUUGCUGGAUGACUUUGUGGGCGAGUGCGCGACUGCUGGAGUGGUUGUCACAAAUACCCACGUGAAUUUCUCUUAGGACGUACUCAAUCUCGUCAAGUCGGAGGCACCUGAGAUAGGGAAGAGAAAAUCCUGUUUUAUACAAGGUGUCCCCGGCCAUGGUGUAUCGAGCCGACCUGGAUCGGAGUCUGUGCGCCUCGAGUCGAUCUUCGGGCAGCUUACCCUCCCGAAGGUAGUUGACUAUUAGGUUCAUCCAGCUUGGGACCAACUUCACUGAAAGGAUUGCGUUUGGAUCGGGCCUGCCAAUGCUUGGCUCGGCAAGGAACUCGACCGGGAUUGACCUAGGGAUGUCAUCCUCGGUCGCGGUGACUAGCUUUGCUAGCAUGUCAGCUUUGGAGACCUAGGGAUUAGGCUGAUGUUGCACUUUGGGAAUUUGCUUAUGAGUUCUUGGACCUUCCGUAAGUAGGCGAUCAUUCUUUCUUCCUUGGCCUGCUACUCACUGGCAAUCUGGUUGACGACGAGCUGUGAGUCACUAUAGAUUUUCAGGUUCUGAACUCCCAUUGCCGCUGCCAACCUAAGUCCAGCAAGCAAUGCUUCGUAUUCUGCCACGUUGUUCGAUGUUUGAAAUUCAAAUCUUAAGGCAUACUACGUGCAGGUUCGAUCAAGAGCCUCAUGGACUAUCCCGGCCCCGCUGCCUUUAGAAUUGGAUGAGCCAUCGACGUAUAGUGUCCAGGUCAGUGAAUCGAGUCCGACCACUUGUCUAUCCUUGGUUGGCUGAUCGGCUUCGUUGCUCGGUUCAACUUCCGUGUUUUGCUCGACAGCGAACUCAACAAUGAAAUCGGCCACUGCUUGGCCUUUGAUGGCGGUCCAUGCCUAGUAUAUGAUGUCAAACUUGCUGAGCUCGAUUGCCCAUUGUCUCCCCGAUACCUCGGACCUCUGAAGUACCUGGCGAAGAGGUUGGUUGGUUGGGACUAUUAUAGUAUGGCCUUGGAAGUAAGGUCGGAGAUGAUGGGAUGAAAUGACCAGAGCCAGUGCGAGCCUCUCGAUGUUUGGAUAUCUUGUUUCGGUUGGGACCAGGGCCUUACUAACAUAGUACACGGGCAGUUGUUUUCCUUUAUCUUCUCGGAUGAGGGCCGAGCUGACCGCCGCGGCUAACACAGCCAAGUACAGUAGUAGUGGCUCUCCUUACUCGCGCUUGGAGAGUAGUUGGGGUGAGCCUAGGUACUGUUUAAGUUGUUGGAAGGCUAGCUCACAGUCCUCGGUCCAUUCUACCUUCUGCUUUCCUUUCAACUGUUUGAAGAACGGCAGGCACUUGUCCGUGGCUCGGGAGACGAAUCAGUUGAGGGUAGCGAUCCUGCCAGUGAGGCGUUGAAUUUCCUUCGUUGUCCUGGGUGAGCUCAUGUCCAGCAAAGCUCGGAUUUUGUUGGGGUUUGCCUCUAUCCACCUCUGGCUGACCAUAAAGCCGAGGAACUUUCCCGAGCUGACGCCGAAGGCGCACUUGCUCGGGUUUAAUUUCAUCUUGUACUUUCAUAGGAUUGC